rnacentral:rRNA from 1 species
UACGUAGGGUGCAAGCGUUGUCCGGAAUUAUUGGGCGUAAAGAGCUCGUAGGCGGUCAGUCGCGUCUGCUGUGAAAACUCGGGGCUUAACUCCGGGCCUGCAGUGGGUACGGGCUGACUAGAGUGCGGUAGGGGAGACUGGAAUUCCUGGUGUAGCGGUGAAAUGCGCAGAUAUCAGGAGGAACACCGGUGGCGAAGGCGGAUCUCUGGGCCGUAACUGACGCUGAGGAGCGAAAGCAUGGGUAGCGAACAGG